rnacentral:tRNA from 1 species
UGGGAUGUCGCCAAGUGGUAAGGCAGCGGACUUUGACUCCGCUAUUCGUAGGUUCGAAUCCUCCCAUCCCAG